rnacentral:rRNA from 1 species
GAACGCGAAGAACCUUACCAGGGCUUGACAUUUAGGUGAAGCGGCGGAAACGUCGUGGCCGAAAGGAGCCUAAACAGGUGGUGCAUGGCUGUCGUCAGCUCGUGUCGUGAGAUGUUAGGUUAAGUCCUGCAACGAGCGCAACCCUCGUCGUAUGUUGCCAGCGGUUAGGCCGGGCACCCAUACGAGACCGCCGGCGUCAAGCCGGAGGAAGGUGGGGACGACGUCAAGUCAUCAUGCCCCUUAUGUCCUGGCUACACACGUGCUACAAUGGCCGGCACAAUGGGCUGCCAACCCGCGAGGGUGAGCGAAUCCCUAAAGCCGGUCCCAGUUCGGAUUGGAGGCUGCAACCCGCCUCCAUGAAGUCGGAGUUGCUAGUAAUCGCGGAUCAGCACGCCGCGGUGAAUGCGUUCCCGGGUCUUGUACACACC